rnacentral:rRNA from 1 species
GCUGGCGGCGUGCUUAACACAUGCAAGUCGAACGCGAAAGGGACUUCGGUCCUGAGUAGAGUGGCGCACGGGUGAGUAACGCGUAAGUAAUCUACCCCUGUAUUCGGAAUAACCCACCGAAAGGUGAGCUAAUACCGGAUACGUUUAUCUUGAUGCGAAUGAUGAUAAAGAAAGGUGGCCUCUUCAUGAAAGCUACUGUACAGGGACGAGCUUGCGUACCAUUAGCUAGUUGGUAGGGUAAUGGCCUACCAAGGCGACGAUGGUUAGCGGGUCUGAGAGGAUGAUCCGCCACACUGGAACUGGAACACGGACCAGACUCCUACGGGAGGCAGCAGUGAGGAAUAUUGCGCAAUGGGGGCAACCCUGACGCAGCGACGCCGCGUGGAUGAUGAAGGCCCUUGGGUCGUAAAAUCCUGUCAGAUGGAAAGAAAUGUAUAGCAGUUAAUAUCUGUUAUAUUUGACGGUACCAUCAAAGGAAGCACCGGCUAACUCCGUGCCAGCAGCCGCGGUAA